GAUGAAAAAAUAACAGCAAACAUUUUAUAAGGACUUAAUGAAGUUUUCAAUGCCUCUAGAUUGAUGAAAAAAAAAAUUCUUGAAAAAAUGCAUGCAUCAAGUCACCUUUCGCUGGUAAAACUUCACCUCAUUUUCCCAAAUUUUAUUUUUAGUUAUUGUCGUGAAAAACAUGUCGAAGGUGGCAUCAACGUCAUAUUCUCAAUCUGACGUCGAAAAGGCUGUGGAUGCAGUACGAUUAGGAAUGUCAUUGAGGACAGCGAGCAAAACUUUUGGCGUUCCGAAGAGUACAGUCUACAGCAAAGUAAAAAAUAUCCAUCCUAUGAAUGCCACACUGGGUCCAGCUUCUAUUUUGACUCCAGACGAAGAAGAUUUACUCGUCAAGUGGAUAUUCUAUUCCUCUGACAAAGAGUUUCCCGUAACGAAGGAUCAACUUCUUGACUCUGUCAAAAUAUUAAUAUGGGAGCUGAAACGAGACAACCCAUUCACCAAUAACCGGCCGGGCCGACACUGGUACGAAGGAUUCUGUCGAAGACAUCCCGAGCUUUCUGAGCGAGUGGCUCAGAAUUUGACGUAUAUCGAGCAUCAGCUACCGAACAGAAAUUAAAAAAUUGGUUCAACGAAGUUUCUGAGUAUCUAACCGCAACGAAUUUGUUAAAUACCGACCCGAAGAGAAUAUUCAACUGCGACGAAACUGCGUUUAUGUUGUGCCCUAAAGCAGAUCGCGUAAUUGUACGAAGAGGAGCGAAAGGAGUAUAUAAAGUAGUUGAUGCAGACGAAAAAGAAUGUCUCACGACACUUUUUAUGGUUAAUGCUACUGGCACGAUGGUACCGCCCAUAGUAAUGUAUUGGUAUCAAAGAAUACCUGCCAGUGUAUCACAAAAUGUACCAUCAGGUUGGAGCAUCGACACGUCUGAUCGAGGAUGGAUGACGGCGGAAACAUUUUAUGAAUACAUAGCCAACGUCUUCUACUCGUGGCUUCAGAAGAAUAACGUCGAGUUUUCGAUCGUACUCUUCGUCGAUGGUCAUUCAUCACAUUUAACUUUGCCUCUUAGUAACUUCUGUCGCGAACAUAAAAUAGAGUUGAUUGCUCUAUUCCCGAAUGCCACACACAUUCUGCAACCCCUGGACGUUGCCGUUUUUCAUCCACUAAAAAGAGCGUGGAAGAAAACAGUGAACCACUGGCGACUAGAGAAUAACGGAGCGCGACUGAAAAAAGAAAUGUUCGCACCUCUGCUGCAGGAAAUUUUCGACUCGAUAAACCUCACGCAAACUAUUACAAAAGGGUUCGAAACGUGCGGUUUAUCUCCGUUCUCAGCGGAUGCAGUGAAUUUUAAUAUCCUCAAAAAAGGACGGGCCUCGGAAAAUACCGCGCUCAGCGACAUAUCCGAAAACGAGGUUUCCAGCGUAGGUAUAGGCGAAAAUAAGAAACAACUACAAUUCUUCGAGCAGCGUUUGUCGGCGAAUUUAGUGAAGACCUUUCAAGAAUCGAGACGUGCGGGAGUUUGGACUGGAGAGAUAAAAAAUGAAGGACUUUUUCAGUUUUGGCUUCAGUUGAAAGAACUCGCCGGUAUAAGGAGUAUAAAUAGUUAACGUUUACAACAUUAUGAGCUUAGGGUUGUUUACUGUGGUUUCGCAAACAUGGUUCUUUUACUACUUUUAUCUAUAAGUAUAUGGGUUUUUUCAUUAAGUAGCUAAUAAUGAAGAUACUACGAAAACAACGGAAGCCGUCGGAGGAGAUUUUGUUGACGAAAGCUGCAUGCCGGUCACGAUUGAGCAAAGCUGCAAUAUUGAGGAAUCAUCGGCGAACAUCGAGCUCCGUACUGACGUAGAAGACAUUGAUGCUACUCUUCAGCAAGGAAAUUCCAUUAUUUUCGACGUGGACGAGAAUGGAACUCUCGUACAAGUACACCCGGAAGUAGAGAGCCUCAAUGAGAGCGUUGGUAUACCAACAAUCAACGGACUGUCGAUGACUGUGGAGGAACCUCGUAAUGUCGCAGAAAAUAAUGAUCGCGAAGAUAGGGGUAUCGUCGAAUGUCGAGCACCGAAGAACAUUCCAGGACCAUUCGCGAAAGCUUUGUUUUGACCCGAAGAGGUCAAAAGAAAGAAACCGCUACCGAAAAGAACUGAGACAGUCCCGAGCGUCGCUACAUCCGACGAGUGGCAGACGUACCAUCAAUCGAAGCAGGAAAAAGAACAGGCCGAGUUGCAGAAGAAAGAACAAAGGCUGAGAAGAAGACUGGAGGCACGAGCAGAAAAAAGAUUCAGCAGGAAAAAAGAAAACAGCUCCAAGAAGAAAAUAAAAGAAUACUGGCCCAAAAACAGUUGCAGAUAGACGCAAUAAAGAGAGAGCUAGCUGAAAACAGGCAAUGCCAGAAAAAGACCGGAGCAAAACAAAAGAAGCAACGAGUAACAGAACAAUGAGCUAUUAUUAUUC
rnacentral:misc_RNA from 1 species